UUGCCCUAGUAACGGCGAGUGAAGCGGCAACAGCUCAAAUUUGAAAUCUGGCGUCUUUGGCGUCCGAGUUGUAAUUUGCAGAGGGCGCUUUGGCAUUGGCAGCGGUCCAAGUUCCUUGGAACAGGACGUCACAGAGGGUGAGAAUCCCGUACGUGGUCGCUAGCCUUUACCGUGUAAAGCCCCUUCGACGAGUCGAGUUGUUUGGGAAUGCAGCUCUAAAUGGGAGGUAAAUUUCUUCUAAAGCUAAAUACUGGCCAGAGACCGAUAGCGCACAAGUAGAGUGAUCGAAAGAUGAAAAGCACUUUGGAAAGAGAGUUAAAAAGCACGUGAAAUUGUUGAAAGGGAAGCGCUUGCAGCCAGACUUGCCUGUAGUUGCUCAUCCAGGUUUCUACCUGGUGCACUCUUCUAUAGGCAGGCCAGCAUCAGUUUGGGCGGUUGGAUAAAGGUCUCUGUCAUGUACCUCUCUUCGGGGAGAACUUAUAGGGGAGACGACAUGCAACCAGCCUGGACUGAGGUCCGCGCAUCUGCUAGGAUGCUGGCGUAAUGGCUGUAAGCGGCCCGUCUUGAAACACGGACCAAGGAGUCUAACAUCUAUGCGAGUGUUUGGGUGUCAAGCCCGAGCGCGUAAUGAAAGUGAACGGAGGUGGGAACCUUUCGGGGUGCACCAUCGACCGAUCCUGAUGUCUUCGGAUGGAUUUGAGUAAGAGCAUAGCUGUUGGGACCCGAAAGAUGGUGAACUAUGCUUGAAUAGGGUGAAGCCAGAGGAAACUCUGGUGGAGGCUCGCAGCGGUUCUGACGUGCAAAUCGAUCGUCAAAUUUGGGCAUAGGGGCGAAAGACUAAUCGAA
rnacentral:rRNA from 1 species